rnacentral:rRNA from 1 species
UACAGAGGUCUCAAGCGUUGUUCGGGAUUCAUUGGGCGUAAAGGGUGCGUAGGCGGCGCGGUAAGUCGGGUGUGAAAUCUUGGAGCUUAACUCCGAAACUGCAUUCGAUACUGCCGUGCUUGAGGACUGGAGAGGAGACUGGAAUUUACGGUGUAGCGGUGAAAUGCGUAGAUAUCGUAAGGAAGACCAGUGGCGAAGGCGGGUCUCGUGGACAGUUCCUGACGCUGAGGCACGAAGGCCAGGGGAGCAAACGGG